AUUCUGCUGGCGAGUCCAAAAUAGGAUGAAACGCGCUUGCUGGAU
rnacentral:hammerhead_ribozyme from 1 species